UACAUGGGGUGCAAACGUUGCUCGGAAUUAUUGGGCGUAAAGCGCGCGUAGGCGGUUACUCAAGUCGGAUGUGAAAGCCCUCGGCUUAACUGAGGAAGUGCACCCGAAACUGAGUAGCUAGAGUACCAAAGAGGGUCGCGGAAUUCCCGGUGUAGAGGUGAAAUUCGUAGAUAUCGGGAGGAACAUCAGUGGCGAAGGCGGCUGUCUGGCCCAAUACUGACACUCAGGUGCGACAGCGUGGGGAGCAAACAGG
rnacentral:rRNA from 1 species